UGAGCAAUCUGCCCUUCUCAUCGGAAUAAGCGUUGGAAACGACGUCUAAUGCCGAAUACGACCUCCUUUCGCAUGAUCGGAGGUGGAAAGCUCCGGCGGAGAAGGAUGAGCUCGCGGCCUAUCAGCUAGUUGGUGUGGGUAAUGGCCCACCAAGGCGACGACGGGUAGCCGGCCUGAGAGGGUGACCGGCCACACUGGGACUGAGACACGGCCCAGACUCCUAUGGAGG
rnacentral:rRNA from 1 species